rnacentral:rRNA from 1 species
GGGCUCACACAAGCGGUGGAGGAUGUGGCUUAAUUCGAGGCUACGCGAAGAACCUUACCUAGACUUAACAUGUUUGAGAAUCUCUGUGAAAGCAGAGAGUGCCUUUCGGGGAACUCUUACGUAGGUGCUGCAUGGCUGUCGUCAGCUCGUGUCGUGAGAUGUCGGGUUAAGUCCCUUAACGAGCGAAACCCUUAUCUUCAGUUGCCAGCGAGUAAUGUCGGGGACUCUGGAGAGACUGCCGGUGUUAAACCGGAGGAAGGUGGGGAUGACGUCAAGUCCUCAUGGCCUUUAUGUCUAGGGCUGCACACGUCCUACAAUGCAACGUACAAAGCGACGCGAAAUCGCGAGAUCAAGCAAACCGCACAAAACGUUGCCCAGUUCGGAUUGCAGGCUGAAAUUCGCCUGCAUGAAGCCGGAAUCGCUAGUAAUCGU